rnacentral:rRNA from 1 species
GACGAACGCUGGCGGCGUGCUUAACACAUGCCAGUCGAACGGAAAGGCCCUGCUUUUGUGGGGUGCUCGAGUGGCGAACGGGUGAGUAACACGUGAGUAACCUGCCCUUGACUUUGGGAUAACUUCAGGAAACUGGGGCUAAUACCGGAUAGGAGCUCCUGCUGCAUGGUGGGGGUUGGAAAGUUUCGGCGGUUGGGGAUGGACUCGCGGCUUAUCAGCUUGUUGGUGGGGUAGUGGCUUACCAAGGCUUUGACGGGUAACCGGCCUGAGAGGGUGACCGGCCACAUUGGGACUGAGAUACGGCCCAGACUCCUACGGGAGGCAGCAGUGGGGAAUAUUGCACAAUGGGCGGAAGCCUGAUGCAGCAACGCCGCGUGCGGGAUGACGGCCUUCGGGUUGUAAACCGCUUUCGCCUGUGACGAAGCGUGAGUGACGGUAAUGGGUAAAGAAGCACCGGCUAACUACGUG